rnacentral:tRNA from 1 species
GGCCUCGUAGCUCAGUUGGCUAGAGCGUUGGCUGUACCAAAUCCCACCUCUUGCUGGCGUGGGUUCGAAUGCCAUCGAGGCCG